UACGUAGGGCGCAAGCGUUGUCCGGAAUUAUUGGGCGUAAAGAGCUCGUAGGCGGUCUGUUGCGUCUGCCGUGAAAACCCGAGGCUUAACCUCGGGCCUGCGGUGGAUACGGGCAUCACUGGAGUUCGGCAGGGGAGACUGGAAUUCCUGGUGUAGCGGUGAAAUGCGCAGAUAUCAGGAGGAACACCGGUGGCGAAGGCGGGGUCUCUGGGCCGAUACUGACGCUGAGGAGCGAAAGCGUGGGGGAGCGAACAGG
rnacentral:rRNA from 1 species